AUUGAACGCUGGCGGCAGGCCUAACACAUGCAAGUCGAACGGGUGGAGGACGGGUGAGUAAUGGCGGGGAAAGUGCCCGAUGGAGGGGGAUAACUACUGGAAACGGUAGCUAAUAGCGCAUACCAUCGGAUGGGACCCGAUGGGAUUAGGUAGUCGGUGGGGUAACGGCUCACCGAGGCGACGAUCCCUAGCGGGCCUGAGAGGAUGACCGGCCACACUGGAACUGAGACACGGUCCAGACUCCGACGGGAGGCAGCAGUGGGGAAUAUUGCACAAGGGGCGCAAGCCUGAUCCAGCCAUGCCGCGUGUAUGAAGAAGGCCUUCGGGUUGUAAAGUACUUUCAGCGAGGAGGCGUUACUCGCGGAAGAAGCACCGGCUAACUCCGUGCCAGCAGCCGCGGUAAUUC
rnacentral:rRNA from 1 species